rnacentral:lncRNA from 1 species
GGUGCAGUGAAUAAGCUGAGAUGGAGGACACAGGAGGGGUUCUGGUAUUUUUCCCUCUCCACCCUGGUCUUCUCCUGUAACGUGUGGCCGCCUUUUCCAGCACGGCCUCCUGCCUUCCUGGUGCACUUUUUGGAGAACGUGGUGGAAUCAGAGGUUUCUGGCUGACUCGGUGG